rnacentral:rRNA from 1 species
UACGAACUGUGCAAACGUUAUUCGGAAUCACUGGGCUUAAAGGGUGCGUAGGCGGCUUGUUAAGUAGGGUGUGAAAUCCCCCGGCUCAACCGGGGAAUUGCGCCCUAAACUGGCGAGCUGGAGUGAGAUAGGGGUGUGUGGAACUUCCAGUGGAGCGGUGAAAUGUGUUGAUAUUGGAAGGAACGCCAGUGGCGAAAGCGACACACUGGGUCUCAUCUGACGCUGAGGCACGAAAGCCAGGGGAGCAAACGGG